rnacentral:rRNA from 1 species
CGGGCAGGUGGUCUGUUAAGUCUGCGGUGAAAUCCCGGAGCUCAACUCCGGAUAUGCCGCGGAUACUGGCGGACUAGAGACCGGUAGAGGCAAGUGGAAUUCCUGGUGUAGCGGUGGAAUGCGUAGAUAUCAGGAAGAACACCGGUGGCGAAGGCGGCUUGCUGGGCCGGUUCUGACACUCAGCCGCGAAAGCGUGGGGAGCAAACAGGAUUAGAUACCCUGGUAGUCCACGCCGUAAACGAUGGGCACUAGAUGCCGGGUCUAUAGACGGAUUCGGUGUCGCAGCUAACGCAUUAAGUGCCCCGCCUGGGGAGUACGGCCGCAAGGCUGAA